rnacentral:rRNA from 1 species
CCUACGGGAGGCAGCAGUGAGGAAUAUUGGUCAAUGGGCGCGAGCCUGAACCAGCCAAGUAGCGUGAAGGAUGACUGCCCUACGGGUUGUAAACUUCUUUUAUAAAGGAAUAAAGUGAUGCACGUGUGGCGCCACUGAGAGUACCCGGAGAAAAAGCAUCGGCUAACUCCGUGCCAGCAGCCGCGGUAAUACGGAGGAUGCGAGCGUUAUCCGGAUUUAUUGGGUUUAAAGGGUGCGUAGGCGGAUCGUUAAGUCAGUGGUCAAAUUGAGGGGCUCAACCCCUUCCCGCCAUUGAAACUGGCGCUCUUGAGUGGAAGAGAAGUAUGCGGAAUGCGUGGUGUAGCGGUGAAAUGCAUAGAUAUCACGCAGAACCCCGAUUGCGAAGGCAGCAUGCCGGCUUCCGACUGACGCUGAAGCACGAAAGCGUGGGGAUCGAACAGGAUUAGAUACCCGAGUAGUC